AGGUGUGUCGUGAGGCAUGCUGGAGGUAUCAGAAGUGCGAAUGCUGACAUAAGUAACGAUAAAGCGGGUGAAAAGCCCGCUCGCCGGAAGACCAAGGGUUCCUGUCCAACGUUAAUCGGGGCAGGGUGAGUCGACCCCUAAGGCGAGGCCGAAAGGCGUAGUCGAUGGGAAACGGGUUAAUAUUCCCGUACUUGGUGUUACUGCGAAGGGGGGACGGAGAAGGCUAUGUUGGCCGGGCGACGGUUGUCCCGGUUUAAGCGUGUAGGUGUGUGUUCCAGGUAAAUCCGGUUCACUUUAACACUGAGGCGUGAUGACGAGGCACCACGGUGCUGAAGCAACAAAUGCCCUGCUUCCAGGAAAAGCCUCUAAGCAUCAGGUAACAUCAAAUCGUACCCCAAACCGACACAGGUGGUCAGGUAGAGAAUACCAAGGCGCUUGAGAGAACUCGGGUGAAGGAACUAGGCAAAAUGGUGCCGUAACUUCGGGAGAAGGCACGCUGACACGUAGGUGAAGUGAUUUACUCACGGAGCUGAAGUCAGUCGAAGAUACCAGCUGGCUGCAACUGUUUAUUAAAAACACAGCACUGUGCAAACACGAAAGUGGACGUAUACGGUGUGACGCCUGCCCGGUGCCGGAAGGUUAAUUGAUGGGGUCAGCGCAAGCGAAGCUCCUGAUCGAAGCCCCGGUAAACGGCGGCCGUAACUAUAACGGUCCUAAGGUAGCGAAAUUCCUUGUCGGGUAAGUUCCGACCUGCACGAAUGGCGUAAUGAUGGCCAGGCUGUCUCCACCCGAGACUCAGUGAAAUUGAACUCGCUGUGAAGAUGCAGUGUACCCGCGGCAAGACGGAAAGACCCCGUGAACCUUUACUAUAGCUUGACACUGAACAUUGAGCCUUGAUGUGUAGGAUAGGUGGGAGGCUUUGAAGCGUGGACGCCAGUCUGCGUGGAGCCGACCUUGAAAUACCACCCUUUAAUGUUUGAUGUUCUAACGUGGACCCGUAAUCCGGGUUGCGGACAGUGUCUGGUGGGUAGUUUGACUGGGGCGGUCUCCUCCUAAAGAGUAACGGAGGAGCACGAAGGUUGGCUAAUCCUGGUCGGACAUCAGGAGGUUAGUGCAAUGGCAUAAGCCAGCUUGACUGCGAGCGUGACGGCGCGAGCAGGUGCGAAAGCAGGUCAUAGUGAUCCGGUGGUUCUGAAUGGAAGGGCCAUCGCUCAACGGAUAAAAGGUACUCCGGGGAUAACAGGCUGAUACCGCCCAAGAGUUCAUAUCGACGGCGGUGUUUGGCACCUCGAUGUCGGCUCAUCACAUCCUGGGGCUGAAGUAGGUCCCAAGGGUAUGGCUGUUCGCCAUUUAAAGUGGUACGCGAGCUGGGUUUAGAACGUCGUGAGACAGUUCGGUCCCUAUCUGCCGUGGGCGCUGGAAGACUGAGGGGGGCUGCUCCUAGUACGAGAGGACCGGAGUGGACGCAUCACUGGUGUUCGGGUUGUCAUGCCAAUGGCACUGCCCGGUAGCUAAAUGCGGAAAAGAUAAGUGCUGAAAGCAUCUAAGCACGAAACUUGCCCCGAGAUGAGUCUUCCCUGAGACUUUGAGUCUCCUGAAGGAACGUUAAAGACGAU
rnacentral:rRNA from 1 species